GUAAGGGCAGAUACGGCGACGUCCGGGUUCCGCUCACCAUUGGUGGAUUGUCCUAUCUAUCAAAACCGCACCCGUAUUCUCCGCUCCUGAUUGGACGGUAGUGUGGAAACUAGGAUGACGGCAUAACAAAUGAAGUAAACCAUCUCACAGAUACACAUCAAGAUGCAGACAGCAGAGGACACCACCAUGAAGAGAGUGAAGAUCUUCUUCUCCGUGGGGCGGGAUAUGGAACAGUCCACUGUGUUCGGGCAAGGAUCCAUUGAACACUUUAACAAACCGGGAGGCUGGCUAAGGUGUGGCCUUGCUGGUAAACAUGAAGAGCAAGAGGAGGAUAGGCGGAGCAUCGCCUAAAAAAAGUUACAUUCUCUCACCUGACGGUUUCAGUAUCCAUGUUAGUCAUGGAAAAAAAAAACAAGAAACACUGCCUCAGGGAAGUGACAGAGAGACAAUGUCAGAGAAAUGGAAGCGAAACCAUGGAGCAGAAAGAUAGUGUCAUGAACCGGCUGUGUGAAGGCAGAUGUGGACCCAAACGCAAAACUCACAGAGACAGAAGCUGAACUCAAAAUCGCUGCUUUAUUGCAGGUCUUACAAAGUAACAGAACUAAACUGGGUAAACUAAACUGAGGACCGAGGAAACACAGAAAGGGACACAGGUUCAGGGAGGAGACAUAAGGAAACAACGUAACAGAGCAAACCCAGGAAGCAUGGCCUAAAUAAGGAACAAAAUACAUGAAAACUAAGAAUACUGGGCUAACGUGGCCCAGGACCAUGACAGAUAGCAGCACAAAGUCAUAGGGCUGCCACAAACGAUUAUUUUGAUAGUCGACUAGUCACCAAUUAUUUUUGCAAUUAGUCGACUAAUCAGAUCAUGCAUCCACUGGAUGUAUAUAAAGAUUGUCUUUAUAUUUCCUAUCUUUAAGAACCUCACACUCCCUCUUGCAGCCUGGGAUCAUCUAACCAAAGGCUGUUGGUCGUCCCCCGAACACGUUUUAAAACCAGAGGUGAUAGAUCUUUUAGAGAGGUGGCCCCCAGGUUGUGGAAUUCUCUCCCUCCAUCUUUGCAUUGCCUGGAUUGUGUUUAUUUUUUUAAAGGAGUCUUUUUAAAAAAGAGUCAUUUAUUUAGACUAGCUUUUAACUAGAUUUGUGCUGUAUGUUUGAUUGUGCUGUAUUAUGUUUAUCUGUUUUAUAUUAUUGUGAAGCACUUUGUGG